CGCCUCCCCCCGGCGCGCGGGGCGGGGCGGCCUUGGUGCUCGCGCGGCCGAUGCACGUACAAUUCAGGGGCAGGCUGUGUGCGGCCUGUUUGACUCUGGGGCAGACGCACUCAGCAGCACUUCUCUCCACCUGCCACAGACAACGCUGUGGCUGCCUACAGGAGCUCCCUGCUCACCGCCGCCAGGCCCCUGCUGCUGACACCUGCGGGAGCUUGCCAUGCGCCCCCCCGCCUCAGGUGGCUAGAGGGGGCACUGUCCUAUAUUCAGGGGCAAUGUGUAGAGAGUACACGUGCAACCCCUGAGAGUGCUGGUGCACCCCCUGUCAGGCCACACUCCCUGUUUAGCCAGCAGGCAGGCAGGAGCACCAGUGCCCUCCCUGUGAGUGCCGGCCAGGGAGUGGGACCACCAGCAAAACCGGAAGUGACCGCAAGAAUUCUGUGAGUUUUACGAAGGAAGUCUUUUAUCCUGGAAUCACACAGACCUACAAACCCGCUCUAAGUAGCUGUGAAGUACGCAAAAUAAAAUAUGCUAACACUUUUUCCAGGACAAAGCUGUGUAGUCCUGGUUCAUUCGAGUUAAUUACCAGAGGAGCUAUUAACAACUCUGUGUAAAGGGCUGUGCUGCUACUCUUUUGUUCCUGGUUUUGAGUCUGAUCAAUCAGAACAGCCUCAAAUGAGAUGUCUGUUUUAUACCCUAUUGUCCCCAAACCCUAUAUCCCCCUCCCCUGCUCUCUCUUCUAUCUGCUGACUAAGGUGUAUACCUGGAAAUGGGUUGUAGCCUCUAAUAUCCAUAUCAGUUCUCAGAGGAGCUAGUCAACCGACAUUACUCAGGGAAUCCCCCAAAUUGGAUUUAAAAUAUUUGUUAUGGGAGCAUUACAUGGCAUCCAGUUACAUAACCAGAGUGGAGAUGAGAGAGGAAGCACUGCAAUGAGAAGAAGCAGAUAAAAUUAAACUUUGAAUAUGAAGUAAAAUUUCAUGCAUUGCAGGCCAACUUGUUCGGCAGGCUUGCCACAAAUUAGCUCUGUAGCCUCCUCAAGUGACCAUGUAUUCCCCUUCCCCUGCCUGAUCUGCUGCUCUGCUUUCUCCUUCCUACCUUGUCUGCUGCCCUUCCUGUCCCCUCUCAGAUCUAUCCCAUGCCACACACAGAGGUUGCCCAUGCCACUUGUGACACAUGUGCUGUAGGUUGGCCACCCCGAUUUAGUUAAUCCAGUUUUCUAUCGGCAGAUACGAUGGAGCUCUUUUGUUUAAGCAUCCAUGUAUCAUGACCAGAUAGUUGUCAAUACAAAUCCUCCUCUGGACAAAUAUUAAAUGGGUCUUUGUAUUUGACCUAAGGCUAAAAGGAAACUGAUAAUCUAGAUACAAUUUAGCACUUAAUUUCUGCAGGAUUGUGUCUGUGGACCUGUUCAGCUUUAAACACUUAAGCAGAUGAUCUGUAGGGGUGUGCAAAGCGGGCACUAUUAGAUUUGGAUUUGGGCCAAAUCCAGGACAGUGAUUC